GCCGAUUUAGCUCAGUUGGUAGAGCAUCUGUUUUGUAAACAGGGGGUCGUACGUUCAAGUCGUAUAAUCGGCA
rnacentral:tRNA from 1 species